GACAGAUUGCUGAGAGAUGCACCUUUUGUGUCUACAAUAGAUGACACUGUUUGCGAAAAUGUUGGAAAAGAACCGGAAGGGCUAAUGACGGAACUUGGUUCUUUCCUCACUGGAGUCAGAUUAGCAUUGGCAUUAAGUUCCGCUUCCAGAGAAGACACAGUUCUUGGGCAAGAAUCCACUGCUACAGUUGAAAGAGUACGGAAUGCAUCAUUUGGCAUUGGAAUAGAUAACAAAUUAAAAGCCGGUUUAGCAGGCUGCCUGGGAUUGGAUUGCCCAGAUGGAGACGGCAUGGCAGGAAGUAAAUUAGGGGAAGUAGUACUAAUAGGCAGCAGCAAUGGGUGAUGUUGUGCAGCCAAGCUAGAUCCUCCGGCUAAUGCAUUCACAUUUUGGUGUUGCGCUUGCUGCUGAAUGGGAAGGGAUGCAACCAAACUUUGUGGUGGUGGAGGAAAACGUUGUUGUUGCUGUUGCUGUUGAUAAUGAGACACUCCUCCUGAGGACCCAACUAAUCCUGGCCAAUAAUUAGGCACAGCAGGC
rnacentral:misc_RNA from 1 species